rnacentral:snoRNA from 1 species
UAUUUAUUUUUUUAUAUUACUCCCCCACAUCUCAUUUGCUGUGGACAUGACCACAAAACAUUUUUCCCACUAGGUUUUCUUUCUGCUACAUUGUUAGCAUUUGGCCUAUUGGGAACAUUU